AGUGAACGCUGGCGGUAGGCCUAACACAUGCAAGUCGAACGGCAGCACAGUAAGAGCUUGCUCUUACGGGUGGCGAGUGGCGGACGGGUGAGGAAUACAUCGGAAUCUACUUUUUCGUGGGGGAUAACGUAGGGAAACUUACGCUAAUACCGCGUACGACCUACGGGUGAAAGCAGGGGAUCUUCGGACCUUGCGCGAUUGAAUGAGCCGAUGUCGGAUUAGCUAGUUGGCGGGGUAAAGGCCCACCAAGGCGACGAUCCGUAGCUGGUCUGAGAGGAUAAUCAGCCACACUGGAACUGAGACACGGUCCAGACUCCUACGGGAGGCAGCAGUGGGGAAUAUUGGACAAUGGGCGCAAGCCUGAUCCAGCCAUACCGCGUGGGUGAAGAAGGCCUUCGGGUUGUAAAGCCCUUUUGUUGGGAAAGAAGAGCAGCAGGUUAAUACCCCGCUGUUCUGACGGUACCCAAAGAAUAAGCACCGGCUAACUUCGUG
rnacentral:rRNA from 1 species